rnacentral:rRNA from 1 species
GCCAGGGACGACAUCACCCACAGAAGAAGCACCGGCUAACUCCGUGCCAGCAGCCGCGGUAAUACGGAGGGUGCGAGCGUUAAUCGGAAUUACUGGGCGUAAAGCGCGCGUAGGCGGCUUGAUAAGCCGGGUGUGAAAGCCCUGGGCUCAACCUGGGAACGGCAUCCGGAACUGUCAAGCUAGAGUGCAGGAGAGGAAGGUAGAAUUCCCGGUGUAGCGGUGAAAUGCGUAGAGAUCGGGAGGAAUACCAGUGGCGAAGGCGGCCUUCUGGACUGACACUGACGCUGAGGUGCGAAAGCGUGGGUAGCAAACAGGAUUAGAUACCCUGGUAGUCCACGCCGUAAACGAUGUCGACUAGCCGUUGGGCUCCUCGCGAGCUUAGUGGCGCAGUUAACGCGAUAAGUCGACCGCCUGGGGAGUACGGCCGCAAGGUUAAAACUCAAAUGAAUUGACGGGGGCCCGCACAAGCGGUGGAGCAUGUGGUUUAAUUCGAUGCAACGCGAAGAACCUUACCUACCCUUGACAUCCUCGGAAUCCGCCGGAGACGGCGGAGUGCCUUCGGGAACCGAGUGACAGGUGCUGCAUGGCUGUCGUCAGCUCGUGUUGGGAAAUGUUGGGGUUAAGUCCCGUAACGAGCGCAACCCUUGUCCCUAUUUGCCAGCGAUUCGGUCGGGAAC